UACGUAGGGGGGCAAGCGUUGUCCGGAUUUAUUGGGCGUAAAGAGCUCGUAGGCGGCUCGGUAAGUCGGAUGUGAAACCUCCAGGCUCAACCCUGGAGACGCCAUCUGAUACUGCCGUGGCUUGAGUCCGGUAGAGGAGCAGGGAAUUCCUGGUGUAGCGGUGAAAUGCGCAGAUAUCAGGAGGAACACCAGCGGCGAAGGCGCUGCUCUGGGCCGGUACUGACGCUGAGGAGCGAAAGCGUGGGAGCGAACAGG
rnacentral:rRNA from 1 species